UGAAAAAGGCACACCCGACCGAAAGGCGGGGUCGCAAAGUCACCGGUCUACAGGGCGAAGCGUCUGCUUCUCACCAUGAUGUCGGGAUUGCCG
rnacentral:ncRNA from 1 species